rnacentral:rRNA from 1 species
UGAGGAAUAUUGGUCAAUGGGCGCGAGCCUGAACCAGCCAAGUCGCGUGAGGGAUGACGGCCCUACGGGUUGUAAACCUCUUUUGUCGGGGAGCAAAUUCCGCCACGUGUGGCGGAGUCGAGAGUACCCGAAGAAAAAUGCAUCGGCUAACUCCGUGCCAGCAGCCGCGGUAAUACGGAGGAUGCGAGCGUUAUCCGGAUUUAUUGGGUUUAAAGGGUGCGUAGGCGGACUGUCAAGUCAGCGGUAAAAUACGGGGGCUCAACCUCCGCCCGCCGUUGAAACUGACGGUCUUGAGUGGGCGAGAAGUAUGCGGAAUGCGUGGUGUAGCGGUGAAAUGCAUAGAUAUCACGCAGAACUCCGAUUGCGAAGGCAGCAUACCGGCGCCCAAUCUGACGCUGAAGCACGAAAGCGUGGGUAUCGAACAGGAUUAGAUACC